GAUGAACGCUGGCGGCGUGCCUAAUACAUGCAAGUCGAGCGAACAGACGAGGAGCUUGCUCCUCUGACGUUAGCGGCGGACGGGUGAGUAACACGUGGAUAACCUACCUAUAAGACUGGGAUAACUUCGGGAAACCGGAGCUAAUACCGGAUAAUAUAUUGAACCGCAUGGUUCAAUAGUGAAAGACGGUUUUGCUGUCACUUAUAGAUGGAUCCGCGCCGCAUUAGCUAGUUGGUAAGGUAACGGCUUACCAAGGCGACGAUGCGUAGCCGACCUGAGAGGGUGAUCGGCCACACUGGAACUGAGACACGGUCAAGACUCCUACGGGAGGCAGCAGAAGGGAAUCUUCCGCAAUGGGCGAAAGCCUGACGGAGCAACGCCGCGUGAGUGAUGAAGGUCUUCGGAUCGUAAAACUCUGUUAUUAGGGAAGAACAAAUGUGUAAGUAACUAUGCACGUCUUGACGGUACCUAAUCAGAAAGCCACGGCUAACUACGUG
rnacentral:rRNA from 1 species